UACGUAGGGUGCUAGCGUUGUUCGGAAUCAUUGGGCGUAAAGCGCGUGUAGGCGGUCAGGUAAGUCUUGUGUGAAAUCCCUCGGCUCAACCGAGGAAGUGCAUGGGAAACUACCUGGCUGGAAGACGGUAGAGGAAGGUGGAAUUCCAAGUGUAGAGGUGAAAUUCGUAGAUAUUUGGAGGAAUACCGGUGGCGAAGGCGGCCUUCUGGACCGUUCUUGACGCUGAGACGCGAAAGCGUGGGGAGCAAACAGG
rnacentral:rRNA from 1 species